CGGGGUUUUGAGGGCGAGAUGA
rnacentral:miRNA from 16 species